UCCUCUUGUUUCUCCCACCGGCCACCCCCAUCCCCUCGAGCGUCAAUAUUUAGUUCACAUUUGCAACACAUUUGCAGCAUUUGCUCCAGAUUCCUCCAGCACACAGGCUCGCAAACUAGAGCUCUGUUGCUGUGCUUUCAAAAUGGUGCAUCUCUGUCUCUAGAUGGCUCAAGGUUUUGAAAUGCCUCCCCAUCCUCAUGAUUAAUGCUACGCAUACAGCACAACAGCAGAGUGGAGAAUUGCAGCCGGUGCCAGUUCACCUACAGGCAUUUAUCUUUCUGUUCCCCCUGGUGCCCGCACGGAGCCUGAGGAUCGAAAUGGAAAAGAGAACUAUUGGGCUUCCUGCCUGGCUGGGGAGUGUUGCUGAGCACACAGUCGCUACAAUAAUAAAGCCUGCUGCUACAGAGAGCCCCCACAAAGACUAGAAG